GUUGUUGGAUGAGAAUAAAGCAAUGAUUUUAUUGAUAUUAAUCACACAACUGCUGACAAUGGAUCUCUGGGCUCUUGCGUCGAUGAAGAACGCAGCAAAACGCGAAAUGUGUUAUGAUGUGCAGUCUUUGUGAAUCAUGAAUCUUUGAACGCACCUUGCACCAGGAGUAGCAGUACGCCUGGUAUGACUGUUUGAGCGGGGGAAUGAGAAUUACACACUGUGUGGGUUGGGGACUUAGCGAUGGCUUGCCCUGAAAGAUAGACAGUCAUGUUCUCUUGGGAUAAUCAUCAAGAGCACACAAUUUAUUAUCCCUCCUCAAAUCAGGCAAGAACACCCGCUGAACUUAAGCAUAUCAAUAAGCGGAGG
rnacentral:rRNA from 1 species